rnacentral:rRNA from 1 species
GCAUAUCAUAAGCGGAGGAAAAGAAACCACAGGGAUUGCCCUAGUAACGGCGAAGUGAAGCGGCAACAGCUCAAAUUUGAAAUCUGGCCCCCGGGUCCGAGUUGUAAUUUGUAGAGGAUGCUUUUGGUGCGGUACCUUCCGAGUGCCCUGGAACGGGACGCCAUAGAGGGUGAGAGCCCCGUCUGGUUGGACGCCAAUCCUUUGUAAAGCUCCUUCAACGAGUCGAGUAGUUUGGGAAUGCUGCUCUAAAUGGGAGGUAUAUGUCUUCUAAAGCUAAAUAUUGGCCAGAGACCGAUAGCGCACAAGUAGAGUGAUCGAAAGAUGAAAAGCACUUUGAAAAGAGAGUUAAAAAGUACGUGAAAUUGUUGAAAGGGAAGCGCUCAUGACCAGACUUGGGCUUGGUUGAUCAUCCAGGGUUCUCCCUGGUGCACUCUUCCGGCCCAGGCCAGCAUCAGUUCGCUGUGGGGGAUAAAGGCUUCGGGAAUGUGGCUCCCUCGGGAGUGUUAUAGCCCGUCGUGUAAUACCCUGUGGCGGACUGAGGUUCGCGCAUUCGCAAGGAUGCUGGCGUAAUGGUCAUCAGCGACCCGUCUUGAAACACGGACCAAGGAGUCGUCUUCGUAUGCGAGUGUUCGGGUGUCAAACCCCUACGCGUAAUGAAAGUGAACGCAGGUGAGAGCUUCGGCGCAUCAUCGACCGAUCCUGAUGUUCUCGGAUGGAUUUGAGUAAGAGCAUACGGGGCCGGACCCGAAAGAAGGUGAACUAUGCCUGUAUAGGGUGAAGCCAGAGGAAACUCUGGUGGAGGCUCGCAGCGGUUCUGACGUGCAAAUCGAUCGUCAAAUAUGGGCAUGGGGGGCGAAAGACUAAUCGAACCUUCUAGUAGCUGGGUUUCCCGCCGA